GGGCGGGUCGUCUAGCUGGUUAGGAUACCGCCCUGACACGGCGGUGGUCCUGGGUUCAAAUCCCAGCCCGCCCACCA
rnacentral:tRNA from 1 species